GACGAACGCUGUCGGCGUGCUUAACACAUGCAAGUCGAACGGUGAACGAGGGAGCUUGCUCCCUCCGGAUCAGUGGCGAACGGGUGAGUAACACGUGAGCAAUCUGCCCCGAACUCUGGGAUAAGCGUUGGAAACGACGUCUAAUACCGGAUACGACGCGGGAGGGCAUCCUCUCCGCGUGGAAAGAACUUCGGUUCGGGAUGAGCUCGCGGCCUAUCAGCUUGUUGGUGAGGUAACGGCUCACCAAGGCGACGACGGGUAGCCGGCCUGAGAGGGUGACCGGCCACACUGGGACUGAGACACGGCCCAGACUCCUACGGGAGGCAGCAGUGGGGAAUAUUGCACAAUGGGCGCAAGCCUGAUGCAGCAACGCCGCGUGAGGGACGACGGCCUUCGGGUUGUAAACCUCUUUUAGCAGGGAAGAAGCGAAAGUGACGGUACCUGCAGAAAAAGCACCGGCUAACUACGUG
rnacentral:rRNA from 1 species